GUGCCAGCAGCCGCGGUAAUACGUAGGACCCAAGCGUUAUCCGGAAUUACUGGGCGUAAAGAGUUGCGUAGGUGGCAUAGUAAGCGAGUAGUGAAAGCGUGUGGCUCAACCAUACAUCCAUUACUCGAACUGCUAAGCUAGAGGACGAGAGAGGUAUGGAAUUCCUAAUGUAGGGGUAAUAUCCGUAGAUAUUAGGAGGAACACCGAUGGCGUAAGCAGUCUACUGGCUCGUUCCUGACACUAAUGCACGAAAGCAUGGGGAGCAAACAGGAUUAGAUACCCCCGUAGUCC
rnacentral:rRNA from 1 species